rnacentral:rRNA from 1 species
UGGGGAAUAUUGCACAAUGGGCGCAAGCCUGAUGCAGCGACGCCGCGUGAGGGAUGACGGCCUUCGGGUUGUAAACCUCUUUCAGCAGGGAAGAAGCGAAAGUGACGGUACCUGCAGAAGAAGCGCCGGCUAACUACGUGCCAGCAGCCGCGGUAAUACGUAGGGCGCGAGCGUUGUCCGGAAUUAUUGGGCGUAAAGAGCUUGUAGGCGGUUUGUUGCGUCUGCUGUGAAAGACCGGGGCUUAACCCCGGUAUUGCAGUGGGUACGGGCAGACUAGAGUGCAGUAGGGGAGACUGGAAUUCCUGGUGUAGCGGUGAAAUGCGCAGAUAUCAGGAGGAACACCGAUGGCGAAGGCAGGUCUCUGGGCUGUAACUGACGCUGAGAAGCGAAAGCAUGGGGAGCGAACAGGAUUAGAUACCCUGGUAGUCCAUGCCGUAAACGUUGGGCACUAGGUGUGGGGGACAUUCCACGUUUUCCGCGCCGUAGCUAACGCAUUAAGUGCCCCGCCUGGGGAGUACGGCCGCAAGGCUA